rnacentral:rRNA from 1 species
UAGGGAAUCUUCGGCAAUGGACGAAAGUCUGACCGAGCAACGCCGCGUGCGUGAAGAAGGUUUUCGGAUCGUAAAACUCUGUUGUUAGAGAAGAACAAGGACGUUAGUAACUGAACGUCCCCUGACGGUAUCUAACCAUAAAGCCACGGCUAACUACGUGCCAGCAGCCGCGGUAAUACGUAGUUGGCAAGCGUUGUCCGGGUUUAUUGGGCGUAAAGCGAGCGCAGGCGGUUUCUUGAGUCUGAUGUGAAAGCCCCCGGCUCAACCGAGGGGUGGCAUUGGAAACUGGGAGACUUGAGUGCAGAAGAGGAGGGUGGAAUUCCAGGUGUGGCGGUGAGAUGCGUAAAUAUAAGGAGGAACACCAGUGGAGAAGGCGGCUCUCGGGUCUGUAACUGACGAUGAGGCUCGAAAGCGUGGGGAGCAAACAGG